CCGUUUGGGUAUUAGUAGCAUAGUGUUGCUUCGGUGGUAAAAGUUUAUUCCUGUCUGAAUCAGUCUUGACUGAGAUUUUGACGAAAACGCAUGUGGGCGGACACGUUUUUUCUUCAAGAGUAUUAUUCUGAGCCAAAUUUUUCAGUGAAAACAUAAAGUUAAAGUCCAGAGGUAUUUGAGACUAAAAGACCUAAAAAAGACUAAAAGAACGCUCUCCAGAACUCAAAGAAAAAAAGCAACAAGUAUCAUCCCUACGAAUACUCAAGAAAAUGAGAAAAUUGAAAUGAAAUGCAAAGAAAUAGAAGAGAAAGAUAGAAGUUUCCAAAAAAGGAGCAGCAAAGAGAAACGUUUUUUCAAAAAAUUUUAAAAAAUUAACAAAGGAGAUAGAUGUCUUCCGAUGAGGACGGAGAAGAUGUCCCAUUUGGGAAUUCAGACGACCAUUCUGAUUUGAUACCUGAACCCGAUCCAACUGCGAAGAUUUAGAUAGAGACCACCCAAAGAAGGGAAUAUUAUUACUUCUGGAGACACAUCCGAAGAAGUUGAAGUUAAUUGAGCCAGGGAAAUUUAGCGGGCACAUUGUAUAAUGCCCUGAUCAACAUGAUUUUGGAACUGUUGCCUUCAAAGACAUAAAAGUGUUUUGCCUUCGCCAUGUGUUUUAGGUAAAACAAAAAUUUUGCAGUCCUAUUAUAAAUUUGACUUAC